rnacentral:lncRNA from 1 species
UGUGAGCAGCAUCCUCUACCCACAUGGAUUUCACAGUGGUAUAUAUGCUGAGGGUGAGCGGGAGCUAUAAUUCAAGUGGAAAUUCUUAGAGCAUUAGGAGCCUCUGUCAGGGGAAUUUCACCUACUAGAGCAGUGUUGUGACCCUUGGUGUUGCUUCUUGCAAAGAGGUAUUGGCAAAAACAUGUAACCUUCCACAAGUCCCACUCAAGCCCCACGAGCUGAGGGGCUGGGGGGAGAAGGGUUGAGUCCUUGCUCAUCCAGAGAGCAUGUCAGUGACUUCCCUCCAAAAAGCAAUAGUUCAGUUUCACUAGAAGUUAGCAGCAAGCAGAAGAAACGUGAAGAGUAGCGUAGCCCAAGCAGUGUCCCUAUAAGGUCUCCACGUGGUGCCCAGACACUGAGAAGCAGUGACUCUUCAGGCUGAAAAAAUGAGUCUGUCUUUGAAACCCUGCCAGACUGAACUCCUCUUCAGGAAGCACUGAGAAAGGAGCUAACUUGAACCAACCACGGAGGCAAUUUUGGUGACUUCCCAUUUCAAGACAAUCCUUUAUCAGGUCAGCUGCCCUAUCCUGCUCCCUUGGCUAUGUGCUGAUAGAGUGAGUUUCUCCUGAAGAAAGUGGAGGCUGAGAUGCAUCAGAGAGAUCUGGAGUGUAACCUGACACGUCAGCACCAUUCAGAGGGUUGUAAAUACUUCCCCAAACCUACAGGUAUUUCCAGGCUUGGCAUCUAGUGUUCUGCGGAAUUGCUUCCAGCCAGAGGUGAGUGGGUGUUAGAGACCUGACUGUUCCAUCCCCUCUUCUGUGCUUCUCACCACCAUUUACUUGGUUCUCCACAGGGCUCUGGUCCAAAUGCCAACGUUUAGAAGUUGCACUAUCAACCUUAUUCCAGGGAUACUCAGCCUGCAAUGAAUGCAUUGGUUUGCAGAUUAUUUUGAAAGCCAGAAGGAACUGCUCACCCAGCAGUGUGAACAA